rnacentral:rRNA from 1 species
UACGAAGGGGGCUAGCGUUGCUCGGAAUCACUGGGCGUAAAGCGCACGUAGGCGGCUUUCUAAGUCAGGGGUGAAAUCCUGGAGCUCAACUCCAGAACUGCCUUUGAUACUGGGAAGCUCGAGUCCGGAAGAGGUGAGUGGAACUCCGAGUGUAGAGGUGAAAUUCGUAGAUAUUCGGAAGAACACCAGUGGCGAAGGCGGGUCUCUGGACAGUUCCUGACGCUGAGGCACGAAGGUCAGGGGAGCAAACGGG